AGUGGGGAAUAUUGCACAAUGGAGGAAACUCUGAUGCAGCAACGCCGCGUGGAGGAUGACGCAUUUCGGUGUGUAAACUCCUUUUAUAUAGGAAGAUAAUGACGGUACUAUAUGAAUAAGCACCGGCUAACUCCGUGCCAGCAGCCGCGGUAAUACGGAGGGUGCAAGCGUUACUCGGAAUCACUGGGCGUAAAGCGCAUGCAGGCGGUUUAUUAAGUUGGAAGUGAAAUCCUAUGGCUCAACCAUAGAACUGCUUCCAAAACUGAUAGACUAGAGUCUGGGAGGGGAAGAUGGAAUUAGUAGUGUAGGGGUAAAAUCCGUAGAGAUUACUAGGAAUACCAAAAGCGAAGGCGAUCUUCUGGAACAGUACUGACGCUGAGAUGCGAAAGCGUGGGGAGCAAACAGGAUUAGAUACCCUGGUAGUCCACGCAGUAAACGAUGAAUGUUAGUCGUUGGGACUCUAGUAGUUUCAGUGAUGCAGUUAACACAUUAAACAUUCCGCCUGGGGAGUACGGUCGCAAGAUUAAAACUCAAAGGAAUAGACGGGGACCCGCACAAGUGGUGGAGCAUGUGGUUUAAUUCGAAGAUACGCGAAGAACCUUACCUAGCCUUGACAUACUACAGAAUUUGACAGAGAUGUUGAAGUGCCUUCGGGAGCUGUAAUACAGGUGCUGCACGGCUGUCGUCAGCUCGUGUCGUGAGAUGUUGGGUUAAGUCCCGCAACGAGCGCAACCCUCGUCCUUAGUUACUAACGGU
rnacentral:rRNA from 1 species